rnacentral:rRNA from 1 species
GAUGAACGCUGGCGGCGUGCCUAAUACAUGCCAGUCGAGCGAACAGACGAGGAGCUUGCUCCUCUGACGUUAGCGGCGGACGGGUGAGUAACACGUGGAUAACCUACCUAUAAGACUGGGGUAACUUCGGGAAACCGGAGCUAAUACCGGAUAAUAUAUUGAACCGCAUGGUUCAAUAGUGAAAGACGGUUUUGCUGUCACUUAUAGAUGGAUCCGCGCCGCAUUAGCUAGUUGGUAAGGUAACGGCUUACCAAGGCGACGAUGCGUAGCCGACCUGAGAGGGUGAUCGGCCACACUGGAACUGAGACACGGUCCAGACUCCUACGGGAGGCAGCAGUAGGGAAUCUUCCGCAAUGGGCGAAAGCCUGACGGAGCAACGCCGCGUGAGUGAUGAAGGUCUUCGGAUCGUAAAACUCUGUUAUUAGGGAAGAACAAAUGUGUAAGUAACUAUGCACGUCUUGACGGUACCUAAUCAGAAAGCCACGGCUAACUACGUG